CAGUCGCCACGGGAAUACGGAGGGUGCAAGCGUUAAUCGGAAUUACUGGGCGUAAAGCGCACGCAGGCGGUCUGACAAGUCAGAUGUGAAAUCCCCGGGCUUAACCUGGGAACUGCAUUUGAAACUGUCAGGCUGGAGUCUUGUAGAGGGGGGUGGAAUUCCAGGUGUAGCGGUGAAAUGCGUAGAGAUCUGGAGGAAUACCGGUGGCGAAGGCGGCCCCCUGGACAAAGACUGACGCUCAGGUGCGAAAGCGUGGGGAGCAAACAGGAUUAGAUACCCCGGUAGUCCCUGUCUCUUAUAC
rnacentral:rRNA from 1 species